GCCCCUCCGCCUCCGAAGCUAGGCUACUGUAGUUUACUGAUGUUCAAGGCCUAAUUCAGAAAUUAGGGAGAGAGAUUUUUCAUUAGAGAAGAAUGGAUUCACUUUUCCAAUGCUAGUUAAGAAUAGAAUAAUCCAAGUUUCACAUUGGAUUUAUUAACUACAAAAAGGCAAAGCCCCCCCACAGACUGUACAAUUUUAGCCAUCUUAUGCCACGAAAAAUGUUUAAGUCUUGGACAAAUUCCUAGGUUGUAAACGAUUGUCGGACGUCUUGGCUGGUUCAGUGAGACAGGGUCUAGGUCUGCUGGUUCAGUACCACUACGUCUUGGCUCCUCGUUUAGUGUGACAGGGUCUAGGUCUGCUGAUUCAGUACCACUACGUCUUGGCUGGUUCAGUGAGACAGGGUCUAGGUCUGCUGGUUCAGUACCACUACGUCUUGGCUGGUUCAGUGAGACAGGGUCUAGGUCUGCUGGUUCAGUACCACUACGUCUUGGCUGGUUCAGUGAGACAGGGUCCAUGUCUGCUGGUUCAGUACCACUACGUCUUGGCUGGUUCAGUGAGACAGGGUCUAGGUCUGCUGAUUCAGUACCACUACGUCUUAGCUCCUCGUUUAGUGUGACAGGGUCUAGGUCUGCUGAUUCAGUACCACUACGUCUUGGCUGGUUCAGUGAGACAGGGUCCAUGUCUGCUGGUUCAGUACCACUACAUCUUGGCUGGUUCAGUGAGACAGGGUCUAGGUCUGCUGGUUCAGUACCACUACGUCUUGGCUCCUCGUUUAGUGUGACAGGGUCUAGGUCUGCUGAUUCAGUACCACUACGUCUUGGCUGGUUCAGUGAGACAGGGUCUAGGUCUGCUGGUUCAGUACCACUACGUCUUGGCUGGUUCAGUGAGACAGGGUCUAGGUCUGCUGGUUCAGUACCACUACGUCUUGGCUGGUUCAGUGAGACAGGGUCCAUGUCUGCUGGUUCAGUACCACUACGUCUUGGCUGGUUCAGUGAGACAGGGUCUAGGUCUGCUGGUUCAGUACCACUACGUCUUGGUUGGUUCAGUGAGACAGGGUCUAGGUCUGCUGAUUCAGUACCACUACGUCUUGGCUGGUUCAGUGUGACAGGGUCUGGGUCUGCUGAUUCAGUACCACAAGGUCUUGGCUGGUUCAGUGAGACAAGGUCUAGGUCUGCUGAUUCAGUACCACUACUUGCGGUCGUAGGCUCAGACAAAGUUAUGGCAGUGUCAGAUUGGUUUUAGCCUUUAUCAUGAAUUUUGGCUGGUGUUUGCGAGCCGAUCCCGGUGACUGACAAAUAGGAACACGGCCGGCACUGAGUACGCACAGAAUUAAAACGCUUACAUCCUUUGCCAGAACGAUUUCCAGAACGAAUUCCCUAAUAAUCUUGUUUCCUGAUAGGAUUUUGAUAAAUGCACAAAAUCACCAAUCCCCCCCCCCAAAACAAAAUCUACCACAUCGACCACGUUAUUUCAGGGAAGCCUAUUUGAUUCUGAGUUUUGACAUAUAAAGUUUGUAUGUGAAAACUAUUUUCAGUUUUUCCAAACUCAAUGAACUCUCUCAUAAGGAUAGAGAUGGGCUUGCAUUGCUGGUGCUGUCAUAAGGGCAGAUCAAACACAACGCUGCAGUUGACGUAGACUAUGUCAAGUCGAUCGCAGAAUGUGACGACAAAACUGAAGCAAAUCUUGCCAUCUGGCCAGGUUGAUGUCAAGAUUUUAAUUUGGUAACAUCGCACAAUGUGACGUGAUGAUCUCACAAUGUGACGUGAUGAUCUCACAAUGUGACGUGAUGAUCUCACAAUGUGACGUGAUGAUCUCACAAUGUGACGUGAUGACCUCACAAUGUGACGUGAUGAUCUCACAAUGUGACGUGAUGAUCUCACAAUGUGACGUGAUGAUCGCAAAAGACUGAAUCCGACAUACAGUCAGCAAAGGCCUUAAGACGUUUUAUUUAUUUAUUUAUAUUUGAAUUAUUGUGCCGCUGUUAACACACAAGCUUGUUAGCUAGUUUAGAAUGAAACAAUUGGACAAUAAUUUUGGUUCCAACCCCUGCCUAAAACCAUACACUAAGUUAACAAUACCUGAAUUUGGGAAAGGGAAAAUGUGUCAGCUACAUAAAACCUUUCUACUAAGAGUCUCUUGCUAUAGAAUAAGCUGAUCUCAAGUGUGCAUAAUAAAAAAAGAAGCUUUUGAAAGAAAACAAUGUUUUUCUUACGUGUGAUAGUUAGCUUCUCGUGUAUCUCAUGCAACACAUGCAAAUGAAACCACAGUUUAGUUUCUGUUGACAACAAAAUAUCAUCGCUAGUAUCAAAAAAGAAUCGUCACCAUUUCCUCGUUCUAGAAUCUUCAGCAUUCUAGAUCUCUAUUCAUUCCAUAUUUUGGGGGGAUCUGAACUGCCACUCUCAGAGUUUAUAAAGUCUCUGUCAAGUCUCAUAUUUUACAACUGAUCAACUUCGCAACAAAGAAAUACUUCACGGGAAAUACUCAACAACAGGACUGUGGGACUCCCAAAAUGGCACCCUAUUACCUAUAAAGUGCACGACAUUGGACCAGGGUCUUUAGAGCUCUGAUCAAAAGUG